AUUGCAUAACAGGGGGAGCAAGUCCAUGACUUUGGGGCUUAGCAGCAUAGCAGGUUUGCAGAUUCACAGAGCUAACCUGCUGGUAAGAAAGAAACAGGUGUCUUGACUACAAAGUCCAUCAUAACACUAGAAUUUAUGUGCCUGGAGGAGCAGGGAUUUUGUUUACACAGCAACCCCUAAAGACGAUGAGUAUUUGGAAGCUGCUAAGUGACUUCACCGGCAUUGAGACCGGAUAUCCUGGUUUCUGUGAGGGGAUUUUCAUAUAACUGAAAGCCAAGAAGCCAAGGCCCAUGAUUGAUUAGGACUGCUGCCAUAUAUAAACUUGAAAAUUUGCUCCUGUGACAAGAUAAGCACAGACAAGAGACUCGAUCAAAGUCAGCAGCUGCCAGAUGUUAAGGCAUGCAUUUUGGUCACAAUUUUAAGGAUGCUAACUGGCUUUAGCACAAAGGAGGUUUCAUAUGUACUCCCAAGGCAGGUGACGCACCAUUGAUGGAAGAACAUGUAAGAAGAAUGGACAUGAGGCCAGAGUCCCUGCUGAGGAGGCAGGACACCAGGCAGAAAAUGAGACUCCUAUUCUGUUUUGUGGAAUAAAGGAUGCACAUUGAAAUUACCUGAAGUUUUAAAAGGUAAAAGCAUUGAUAGUUGCUCAUUGUGAAGUUUUAGACCACUUCUUUCUGUUUAGCAUUUUCUACUCUGCAUUACAUAUUUAUUUUGUCAGAUUCCUUUCUUUUUCUAUGUAGAUCCUGUGUUAUGGGCUGAAUUAUGCUCCUCAAAUGCAUAAGUUGAAGUUAUAUCCUCAAUAUCUCAAAUCCGAGUAUAUUUAGGAACAAAGUCUUAAAGGAGGUAAUUCAGUUAAAAUGAGGUCACUAGGAAGGGCUCUAAUCCAAUACAACUGCUGUGUUCAUAAGAAGAGGAAAUGUGAACACGCUAAUAGGGAAAAAUGAUGUGAAGACACAAGGAAAAGACAGCUGUCUACAAGCCAAGGAGAGAGGCCUCAGAGGGAACCAACCUUGCCAGCACCUUCAUCUUGGAUUUCUGGUCUCCAGAAAUGUGAGAAAAUAAAUGUUGCUUAAGUCUCUCGGUCUCUGGUACU
rnacentral:lncRNA from 12 species